AAGCUGAUAAAAAACUUCAGCAAAGUCUCGCGAAGGCCCGCGGCGGUUGUUGACGCGAUGUGAUUUCUGCCCAGUGCUCUGAAUGUCAAAGUGAAGAAAUUCAAUGAAGCGCGGGUAAACGGCGGGAGUAACUAUGACUCUCUUAAGGUAGCCAAAUGCCUCGUCAUCUAAUUAGUGACGCGUAUGAAUGGAUGCACGAGAUU
rnacentral:ncRNA from 1 species